rnacentral:snRNA from 1 species
AGCUUUGCGCAGUGGCAGUAUCGUAGCCAAUGAGGUUUAUCCGAGGCRCGGUUAUUGCUAAUAAUUUUGCCAUCUGCAAUAUCUAUCCUUAAUUUUUUAAUUAAUUAAAAUAAUU